rnacentral:rRNA from 1 species
UACGUAGGGUGCAAGCGUUUAAUCGGAAUUACUGGGCGUAAAGCGUGCGCAGGCGGUUUUGUAAGUUUGUCGUGAAAUCCCCGGGCUCAACCUGGGAAUUGCGAUGAAGACUGCAAGGCUAGAAUCUGGCAGAGGGGGGUAGAAUUCCACGUGUAGCAGUGAAAUGCGUAGAGAUGUGGAGGAACACCGAUGGCGAAGGCAGCCCCCUGGGUCAAGAUUGGACG